rnacentral:rRNA from 1 species
AUUGAACGCUGGCGGCAGGCCUAACACAUGCAAGUCGAGCGAGCGGCGGACGGGUGAGUAAUGUAUGGGGACUGCCCGAUAGAGGGGGAUAACUACUGGAAACGGUAGAUAAUAACGCAUACUAUCGGAUAACCCAUAUGGGAUUAUCUAGUAGGGGAGGUAAUGGCUCACCUAGGCGACUAUCCCUAGCUGGUCUGAGAGGAGGAUCAGCCACACUGGGACUGAGACACGGCCCCGACUCCUACGGAGGCAGCAGUGGGGAAUAUUGCACAAUGGGCGCAAGCCUGAUGCAGACAUGCGGCGUGUAUGAAGAAGGCCCUAGGGUUGUAAAGUACUUUCAGUCGGGAUGCGUUACCGACAGAAGAAGCACCGGCUAACUCCGUGCCAGCAGCCGCGGUAAUUC